rnacentral:lncRNA from 1 species
AUGACUAAGGGGAGGGGUCAAGAACAUGAUGAGGAAAACCACAGAUACAGUUGCAGUAUGACCACUCACCUUCUACUCAUUUGCAAUUUCUUCUCUACCAUGAUGAACUGUAUCUCUUCUAAAUGUGAGCCAGAAUAAAUCCUUCCUUUGCUAAACUGCUUUGUCAGAUGUUUUAUAAUAGAAAAAAGUUUCUAUUGCCUCUGGCCAUUCAUGCCAUUGCUGCUGAAUUUGCUGUUCCAGUACUAAGAAGAGGAACUGAACUGAUAAUUUGUACAAUUGAUUGAUUAUGAAACUGAUGGUGAGUAGUAUUUCCACUCCUUACUUUUCUGAAUAGGGUCUGUUUUAGCAGAAAGAAGGCUUUGAUUUUCUUGUUUUUAGUGAAAUAAUUUAAUUUAAUUUAUAAAUCUGUAGCCUUCCAAUAGUGUUGAUUCCUAGAUCAUCAAUAUGACAUAAUUGUACAUAAUUUAGGAAACACACAAAUCUCAAAUUGAGGUGUAUUCUUCUAUUUAGUACUUCCAAUAAUAAUG